CAGUCGCCACGGUAAUACGUAGGGUGCGAGCGUUAACCGGAAUUACUGGGCGUAAAGCGUGCGCAGGCGGUUUUGUAAGACAGGCGUGAAAUCCCCGGGCUCAACCUGGGAAUGGCGCUUGUGACUGCAAAGCUAGAGUGCGGCAGAGGGGGAUGGAAUUCCGCUUGUAGCAGUGAAAUGCGUAGAUAUGCGGAGGAACACCGAUGGCGAAGGCAAUCCCCUGGGCCUGCACUGACGCUCAUGCACGAAAGCGUGGGGAGCAAACAGGAUUAGAUACCCGUGUAGUCCCUGUCUCUUAUAA
rnacentral:rRNA from 1 species